GCAUACUUAGAUGGUUGUUUGAUGGUAAGCAAACAUAGAUUGGAGUAACUUUCAGCAUUGGCUGCAUAGGGAUCACAAUGGAUCGAGUAUUAGUUGAGUCAACCAAUAUUCAUAUCCAUUUUGUAAUUAAAACUUCUGUACUCAUAUCUACUACGUAUUUAUUUUGGAUUGGAUUGAGUUAGACAAAGUAGAUAGUGUGGAUUGGAUCGAGUUAGAUAAACAAAAUA
rnacentral:lncRNA from 1 species